CCGGCCUCUGGUGGCACUGUCGAUCCGGGCAUCAUUUCCUCUCCUAUGGUUAAGUUGAUUGAAACUUUUGCUGUUUUUUGCAAGUCUCAGAGAGCUGCUUAUAGGGAGAAGGUGUUAAUUGAAGCAGAGAAACAAUUUCUGCAUGAUUUCACUUUUUUCAAGGAAAAGUUAUUAGUUGAUUUUGGCCAAAUAGUGGAUGUCGAAUGCAUUGAUAGUACUUGCCAAGUUCUGUGUGACAAGGUCAGGGAUUGUUGUUCAAUUUGCAAGUCAAGGUGUACUGAAGCUAUCAUCGAUUCUCUAAAAAAUUUGGCUGAAGCAAUGACUAUUAAGCAUCAGAAGUUUUUGAAUUCCAACAACCUUCUCGCGAAAGAUAUGGAUAUUAAGUCAGAUGAGAAAGCUACCAAAAUUGAUACCAAUGUGCAGCCAGUUGAUGUUAAGUCGAAUGAGAAAGGGGCUGGUGCGGGCAUUGUUGA